AGAAGCUGCCAGUCCACUGAAAAACUGAGCAUGCACACUGUUUCAGAAAAGUGGAUCCAGCAUUUCAAAUUUCCCAAGUGACUGUGAGAAACAACUCAGUGGUGGAGGAGACUCAAAGGAGAAUGUGAACUUGCAGUUUAAAAUUAAAAACAAAAUGAUAAUCC
rnacentral:lncRNA from 1 species